rnacentral:tRNA from 1 species
AAGCCCUGUGGUGUAACACAUGUUGGAUUGCAAAUCCAGAGACGCAGAUUGACGUCUGCCGGGGCUUUCC